UGUAUUUACACAAUUUGUUAAUUUUUCUUUACAGCUUGCCAGUAUCACAGCACAUUGGACAUUUUUCCAGUCCAGUAUGUAUCCCAGACACGUGAAAAAAGGGCUGUAAAGAAGUACUUGUCCAUUGGCUCCCGUGUCCGUCGUGUCAAAAGGUCUGGCCCCCAUCUUGGGAACCACAGGAGAAUAUAAAAAUGACUGUUUCAUAAAAGGUCUGCAAUGAAGCUCUAAUGUUCUGUCCUGUAUUUCUAA